UAGGACUGUAUGCACCAAGGGCUUCUACAAGAGCACCGCCUAGAUGGAAUGCGCCCUUCCCUACCUUAGAAGAUGAAUUCAAUAUAAUGGCGACGCCGGCCGGGCCAGACCAUGUUGUUUUAUUAGAUGAUGAGCGCUUCUUCCAAUCCAGCGUGAUAACAUCCGAAGCGACGGCGAUGGACACGACCGCGUCCGUCGGCGCCGUCGUGGACACUGACGACAUCGCGCCCGACAAGCCGGCGCCGGACCUGCACUCCCCGUGAUGCCGCGCGCCGCCGCUAGAGGCCGCCACCGUACUGCGCUGGACGCCCGCCCCCCCGCCGCACUGGAGGCCGGUCAGCCAUCGCACGUAGUGAUACGUGUACUAUUGGAUGUUACAUUGCGCUUACGUUU
rnacentral:lncRNA from 1 species